rnacentral:sRNA from 1 species
GCCCGGCGUCGGGUGUUCUCUUACUAGCGCACGGCUCAGCUAAUGAGCCAUUCCCCUGAGCCAGGUACACGGAAUUUGUACCUGGCUUUUUUUG